rnacentral:rRNA from 1 species
AAACACAAAUGACUCUCGGCAACGGAUAUCCCGGCUCUUGCAUCGAUGAAGAACGUAGCGAAAUGCGAUACUUGGUGUGAAUUGCAGAAUCCCGUGAACCAUUGAGUCUUUGAACGCAAGUUGCGCCCGAAGCUGUCAGGUUGAGGGCACGUCUGCCUGGGUGUCACGC